UAGAGUUUGAUCAUGGCUCAGAGCGAACGCUGGCGGCAGGCCUAACACAUGCAAGUCGAGCGGCCGUAGCAAUACGGCAGCGGCAGACGGGAGAGUAACACGUGGGAACGCGCCCUUCGGUCCGGAAUAACUCAGGGAAACUUGGGCUAAUACCGGAUACGCCCUUACGGGGAAAGAUUUAUUGCCGAAGGAACGGCCCGCGUCCGAUUAGCUAGUUGGUGAGGUAAUGGCUCACCAAGGCGACGAUCGGUAGCUGGUCUGAGAGGAUGACCAGCCUCACUGGGACUGAGACACGGCCCAGACUCCUACGGGAGGCAGCAGUGGGGAAUUUUGGACAAUGGGCGCAAGCCUGAUCCAGCCAUGCCGCGUGCGGGAAGAAGGCCUUCGGGUUGUAAACCGCUUUUGUCAGGGAAGAAACGCACCGAUCUAAUACAACGGUGUAAUGACGGUACCUGAAGAAUAAGCACCGGCUAACUACGUGCCAGCAGCCGCGGUA
rnacentral:rRNA from 1 species